rnacentral:rRNA from 1 species
AUUGAACGCUGGCGGCAGGCCUAACACAUGCAAGUCGAACGAGUGGCGGACGGGUGAGUAAUGUCUGGGAAACUGCCCGCUGGAGGGGGAUAACUACUGGAAACGGUAGCUAAUCACGCAUACUAUCGGAUUUCCCCAGAUGGGAUAAGCUAGUAGGUGGGGUAACGGUUCACCUAGGCGACGAUCCCUAGCUGGUAUGAGAGGAUGCCCAGCCACACUGGGACUGAGACACGGUCCAGACUCCUACGGGAGGAAGCAGUGGGGAAUAUUGCACAAUGGGCGCAAGCCUGAUGCAGCCAUGCCGCGUGUAUGAAGAAGGCCUUCGGGUUGUAAAGUACUUUCAGCGGGGAGGCGUUACCCGCAGAAGAAGCACCGGCUAACUCCGUGCCAGCAGCCGCGGUAAUAC